UUCUUAUGUGUACAACAAGGGGGUGGAACAAGGUAGAGGUGGUAUCAACAAUUAGGGUGCUAAAAGCUUCUUUAUCUCUGCUCCCAGCUUCCCAGUGGGAAGAAAAUCUUAGGAUGAGCUGCUCCGAAGCUAAUGGGACACAAUUUUCAGGUCUCCCUAUGGGAUGGGCCCAGGAGUACGCAUUCUGGUCAAUGGAGAGAAGUCUUCAACAGAUCUUCCAACAUCUGGAAUGUGCAAGCCACAACAGGGUAGAACAGGCUCCUGAGGCGCAAGCACAGAGGAGGUUGAGGAAGAAAUGUGGGAAAACCUAUCUCCCUGUCUUGGAGGUGAGAGGACACACCCCUACUGAGGGAAGACAGCACAGGUCCUCUGAGAGGA